GACGAACGCUGGCGGCGUGCUUAACACAUGCAAGUCGAACGGAAAGACCCUGCUUUUGUGGGGUGCUCGAGUGGCGAACGGGUGAGUAACACGUAAGUAACCUGCCCUUGACUUUGGGAUAACUUCAGGAAACUGGGGCUAAUACCGGAUAGGAGCUCCUGCUGCAUGGUGGGGGUUGGAAAGUUUCGGCGGUUGGGGAUGGACUCGCGGCUUAUCAGCUUGUUGGUGGGGUAGUGGCUUACCAAGGCUUUGACGGGUAGCCGGCCUGAGAGGGUGACCGGCCACAUUGGGACUGAGAUACGGCCCAGACUCCUACGGGAGGCAGCAGUGGGGAAUAUUGCACAAUGGGCGGAAGCCUGAUGCAGCAACGCCGCGUGCGGGAUGACGGCCUUCGGGUUGUAAACCGCUUUCGCCUGUGACGAAGCGUGAGUGACGGUAAUGGGUAAAGAAGCACCGGCUAACUACGU
rnacentral:rRNA from 1 species